ACAGCAGCAGCCGCGGGAAAACGGAGGGGGCUAGCGUUGUUCGGAAUUACUGGGCGUAAAGCGCACGUAGGCGGCUUUGUAAGUUAGAGGUGAAAGCCCGGAGCUCAACUCCGGAAUUGCCUUUAAGACUGCAGAGCUAGCAGGUGAGAGAGGUGAGUGGAAUUCCGAGUGUAGAGGUGAAAUUCGUAGAUAUUCGGAAGAACACCAGUGGCGAAGGCGGCUCACUGGCUCAUACUGGACGCUGAGGUGCGAAAGCGUGGGGAGCAAACAGGAUUAGAUACCCCCGUAGUCCCUGUCUCUUAUAC
rnacentral:rRNA from 1 species